CUUACAUUGAUUUCGUCAAACGGUCGGGUGUAUAUUUAGAAGUAGACGCUCAUCAUGAAGGUUUUUAUGGUACCCAUCUUGUUUGUUCUAAUAGACACGACAUCAGGUGCCUUUAAUGCGGCUCUCAAUAAACCAACGACUCUCAGUUCAGUUGGAUGGGACGGUGUUUCCUCUAGAGCGGUAGAUGGCAAUACUAGUCCUAUCUAUGACGACCUGAGUUGCGCGCACACUGAUGAAAACCUGAAACUGGAUACUGAAUGGUUGUGUGUUGAUCUAGAGCAGAGUUUUACUAUCGGUAGCAUUAAGAUAUUUAACAGAAAAGAUUAUGGAAAUCGUCUGGAUGGAUUUGAGGUUAGGUUGAGUUCUAGUGGUAAGUGUGAUAGUUCCGGAUUUACAUCAGCUACGCAAUGCUAUAAAGACGACAAAGCAUCACCAGGAAACCUAACAUAUACCAUAAAGAAAUGUAAUGUGGCAGAUUUACCAUCAUUUGCUGGCAGAUAUGUUUAUAUAUCCGUUGGAAAAUCAUCUCCUCAACCUCCAAUAUUGACCGUAUGUGAACUACAAAUAUUUACAGAAAACUGUCCUAAUGGCUAUUACGGUACCAACUGUGAUAAGCCGUGUGUUAACUGUAAAGAUGCAUGUCAACGAUCAGAUGGUAUUUGUUUGAAUGGUUGCAAACCAGGAUAUUGGGGAAAGGAUGGUUCCUGUCAUCAGGAAUGCCCCAAGUCCUGUAGAGAAGGCUGUUAACUAAAUGUUGGUACCUGUUUCGCCUGAUACAUUGGUGAUCUCACUGCCCUGAUAUGAAUAUCAAUUAAAUAUUCUAAGCAAUUUCUAAUACGCAGCCUUUUGAACAGUUUUCACUUAUACUUUUCACCAAAUUCCUUUAUAUCGGAAAGCAUAGAUUCAUUUUCAACGUCCCCUUUUUUUCUGCGCUAUCCAUAUUGUUUAUUGUAUUCAAAUUAUUCUUGUCUUAUUCUAAAACUAGUUUAAAGGGACAAUAACACUCUUGCUGGCUUGACAGCUCCAGAAAAUAAAAAAAUAUCCUUAUUCUAAGUACUAGAUGUGUUAGUGUCCUACCUGUUGUGUAAAUUAUCCAUUAAAUCCUAUUUUACUUGUCCAGAGGGUUCGAAAAUAUUUUUAAAUCCAAGUCACAUUUGAAAAGGUUUACUUUAGGCUUUUCAAAUCAUUUAGUUGAAUUUUUCCAAUUUUUUAAAUUAGGUGUGUUGAGAUGAAUUUGUAUCAUCAAUUAAUUGGAAUAUUGUAAAAUAGUACAAUUUGUUGACCAGAAUAAAGAUUGGGACAUAUUAUUCAGUUACAACAAGAGUGGUAUUGAGCCUUUAAUAUUAUCUAUAUAUAAACUUUAAUCUAUCUUGUUUACCUAGAAAUUUACUGUAUUAUUUAUUUUGAACCUUUAUCUAAUUUAGUUAGAAACUUGCUCUUAUU